rnacentral:rRNA from 1 species
UACGUAGGGUGCAAGCGUUGUCCGGAAUUAUUGGGCGUAAAGAGCUCGUAGGCGGUUUGUCGCGUCUGCUGUGAAAUCCCGAGGCUCAACCUCGGGCCUGCAGUGGGUACGGGCAGACUAGAGUGCGGUAGGGGAGAUUGGAAUUCCUGGUGGUAGCGGUGGAAUGCGCAGAUAUCAGGAGGAACACCGAUGGCGAAGGCAGAUCUCUGGGCCGUAACUGACGCUGAGGAGCGAAAGCGUGGGGAGCGAACAGG